rnacentral:rRNA from 1 species
GCGGAGGGAUCAUUCACAUGUAUCCAACCUGUAUCAACCAACUGUGAACUGUUUUGCCGUGAGAGGCAAGUGCUGAGAGUGUUAGCUUAGUCACUGAGUGGAAUCAGUGUUUACACUGAUUGAGACUAACUAGCUGUGACCGAUUCUUCGGAAUAUGGUCAGCUCUCCGUUUGCUAAUCCGGCCCUAUCUCUAGUCUAUCAAUGAUUGAUUGAUCCCCAUCUCAAUCGCUCUCAUUUUGAUAGUCUAGGGAGCCCCCACAAACCACCUCAGCAUUCUCUGUCCUGAUUAGUGCUUUGUGUACUGUUGGUGAUCAGAUGAAUGUCGAACAUUCGAUAACCAAUGAUAGCAUUUUCGGAUGCUUGACUCUGUCUGUCAUUUUCAUGAUAGCUUCACAGUAGUCAUUUUUAACAUAGAGAACAACUCUAUGCCCUGGAUAUCUUGGUUCUCGCACCGAUGAAGAACGCAGCGAAAUGCGAUAUGUCAUGCGAAUUGCAGGAUUCAGUGAAUCAUCGAAUUUUUGAACGCAAAUUGCGGUCCUGGGAUAGCCCCAGGACCACGCUUCCGGGAGUAUCGGUUCCUACUAUCANGCAUCUGAGCUUUGUGCACAGAGUUGGCCUAAGCGUGAGAGUCUCGUUUGUCAUUUCAUUGACAGACUAGUCUCUUGAAAAACAGUGGAGUUCCCCGUCUCUCACUCUCUCAUUCAUUGGAUGAGUGUUUGAUGACUGUGUAGAGUCUCAAAGAAUGUACUUUUCUUAACAAAAGUAUUUUCUGCCCCUAUCCUGUACCUGAUCUGUGGGG